rnacentral:rRNA from 1 species
UGGGGAAUAUUGGACAAUGGGCGCAAGCCUGAUCCAGCCAUGCCGCGUGAGUGACGAAGGCCUUAGGGUUGUAAAGCUCUUUUGGCGGGGACGAUAAUGACGGUACCCGCAGAAUAAGCCCCGGCUAACUUCGUGCCAGCAGCCGCGGUAAUACGAAGGGGGCUAGCGUUGUUCGGAAUUACUGGGCGUAAAGCGCACGUAGGCGGAUGUGCCAGUCAGGGGUGAAAUCCCGAGGCUCAACCUCGGAACUGCCUCCGAUACAGCACGUCUCGAGUCCGGAAGAGGUGAGUGGAAUUCCUAGUGUAGGGGUGAAAUUCGUAGAUAUUAGGAAGAACACCAGUGGCGAAGGCGGCUCACUGGUCCGGUACUGACGCUGAGGUGCGAAAGCGUGGGGAGCAAACAGGAUUAGAUACCCCCGUAGUCCCUGAGCGGGCUGGCAAGGCGCAU